rnacentral:misc_RNA from 1 species
UCGGAAGGUGCGGCUGGAUCACCUCCUUUCUCGGAAACCGGAGUCAGGCAUCGAGGGCCAAGGUCAGCAAUGACCGGAUCCCGAGACCUUGCACUCCCACUGUGAUGUCGAAGUACCCACAACCUAUCGGCUGCAGCAACAAGGCAGCGUCGGCGUGCCAGGACACCGGGCCUGUAGCUCAGUUGGUUAGAGCACCGUCUUGAUAAGGCGGGGGUCGAUGGUUCGAAUCCAUCCAGACCCACCAAAACACUCGGCGGCGGGGCAGCGUGGGGCGAGUUUCGAGAAGCGAGACGAUCAAGGCGCGAGCCGCCGACGUGUAGACCUAAGCUACACGAGGCGGCGAGCAACGCAGAGCGGCGACGCUUAUCGAAAGUCGGAGGGGCUGUAGCUCAGUUGGGAGAGCACCUGCUUUGCAAGCAGGGGGUCGUCGGUUCGAUCCCGUCCAGCUCCACCAAAUCCUGGGCAGAGGUGAAGCGGAGAAUGCAGAAGCAAGCGUUGGCGUUUGCUUCUGGUUUCUUUGAACCAGUGAUAUCGGUUGUUCUUUAACAAUUGGGAAGAAGUAAAGGUCUUGCUCGGAAGGGCGGGCGUGGGCGCGAGCCUGGGUCUGGCUGGACGAGUGAGAUUGGGUUGGAUUGUAUUGACCCUGUUCAUGCUGUGAGUUCGGUGUGGAUGGGGAGCGCGAACGCCCGUGAUGUUGAGUGAAGGUCAGUGCUCAGUGUUAUGGGGUCAAGCGACUAAGUGCAUGU